GAUCGCAGCACUUAAGGUGGCCACUACUGGAACAGACUUGGCUCUAGGCGACUUUCGCCGCUUUUUGGCAGGAUGUGUGGGUACAGCGGCCGCACAAACAAUUUGGGAUAAGAUAGGGGUUACAGAGAAACACCCGCAUAACAUAAGUCAGAAUAGAUUCCAAGGAGCACUCUACGAAGCAUUACGAGGAAAAUACCCCAGUAAACACACAGCUACCGCAGUCGAGGAUUUUUCCUGGAACACAAAAGAGUCCCCAGCUGCAUUCAUGGCGAGGAGUGAAGCUAUAUGGAGAAAGGCAUUUGGAGAGGAACAUACACAAACACCCCCAACCAGAAAGAUGUAUCGAGCCAUGGUCAUUAAGGGAUUGCCAGACACCGUGCAGGCUCAGCUAAAGAAUGUAGUGGGACUGAAAAAUUCGUCCCAUGAAGUGUGGACUGAUAAUAUAAUGCACUUCCUAGAAUACGUAGCUCCAGAGGUCCCAGAGCCUACUAAUGCAGAAGCUCUAAAGUUAGAGCUACUGAGACUACAGAUUCAGAAUGAAAAGAAAAUCGCAGCAGAUAAUACUAAAAUAGCCAAAGAUGACAAAGCACAGAAGCAGCUGGUAGCCACACAAGAACAGUUAGCGAGUGUGCUGGGAUCCAUGCAGGGAUCAAAAAAUAGCUCCAGUCGUGCAGGCAGUACAACAACAAUUGCCCCCCCCCCUCCUCCUUUCUACCCUCCUCAACCCACAUGGUCCCCACAGAUGAUUCCCCAGCCAUUGAAUAACGGGUGGUACGGACAGACUGAUGACACACGACACCAUAACGACUCCAACUAUAUACCUGGUAGAGGAGGCAGGAGAACAGGCCCAUACAAUUGCUACAACUGUAAUGAGCCAGGGCACUGUGCCAGAAACUGUAAGAGAAAGAGGUAACUAUUAUGGAAGAGGUGGCAGAGGAAGAGGAGGAAGAGGAAGAUACAGAGGAGGAAGUUAUGGAGGACCUGGAGGUUAUAGAGGACCCCAGGGAAACCCUGUUCAACAACAGCAACAGCCUCCACAGCUACAGACUCCCCCUCAACAGCCCCCCCCUCUGCAGCAGACAGCAGCACAACCACAAUACAUCAUAGUCUGUAUCCAGCCCCUCCUCCAAAUCCAUAAGCACUGAUCUAUCAACAGCCACAGCAAGCCACGUUUGCACCGCUUCAAGCUUAGUUAUGCAUAAAAGAAGCCCGUUCAGGAGUAAAAGGAGUAACAACUGGGGCAACAGAGGCUUUAGACGAGUAUUAAUAAUUUUUAAUUAUAGUCAGGCUGGACAUUGGGCUAACUUUUGUCCUUAUCCACCACAGGGUUAAGCAGUCUCAGUCAGGACCACUUCAGUACUCUCAUAAUGUCUAACCCCGCCAUAACAAGCACCCAACACAUAGCCACAGCCACAAGGCAAUAGUGAUCCACGGCACCAGGCCCGGACCAGAGACACAGAAUUAGGCGUGCCCAGAUCCAACAGCUGACAGCGAACUGUACUCACUGAACAGAAAUGUGCCACACCCACUAGUCACCCAAUGAUUCAACUGGAGACUAAAGAGACACUGAACAGGAAGCAAAGUGUCCGGUGGGACAGAGUAGAUGAUGAUGACAUCACACCUCUGCAUGACAACAGCCAGCAGUGGAGACUUUGGUUCAAAGUCCUGCAUCCCUACUCGCCACCAGGGGACCAAAGACAUUGUGCCCUUAACUCCUCCUUGAUACAAGAUGAGAUCUGAGAUCCUGAGGGACUGCCUGCAACACGAGAUUGAGGUUCAUGAAAACCCAACUGUGGAGGCUUGGAGAUCUAUGCAGAGAAGCAAGGAGUAGCAGCGCCGGUGAAUGAACACCAGAAUUGCAGAUUGAAUGCAGUCGUUGACACCGCAGCUCCACAUCACAGUGUUGGUCCAGAGUGGAGGCACAGAGAAGAACAAUGGUGAAAGCAGAGGUUGAGGCUACGGACUGGGUGCACAAACAAAAUUAACACUUGCAUUACUCCACAUUUGAGAACAUGUAAAGAACUGCACACACAUCGGAGGUCCAGUUAAUAUUAGAGACACAUGCUUAGCCACACACAUAGUAGAGAGAACACUGAUCAUGGGGACACUGACAACAUGCGAAACUUAUUUCCAGACACUUUUAGGACUAAAGGGUGAACUGAUGUGUGACUGAUUCCGAUAGCUCCCGUAGAGAUAGAGUUAAAACUGCGUGCGAUUCCAAUUUAAUCAUCACCAGCAUCCCUUAAGGAUGGAACAGACUAGAUAUAUUUUUUAAAUCAUAGAAUGGUUGUUAUAGGAAGGUGUACUGGAGAGGACGAGGGCUCCCUGGAAUACAUUAAUUAAUUAAAUUUCGUAAAACUUGGAAAAUGGGCCUUGAUUUGGGGCCAAUAAAUAAAUGUGUAACCCGUUCUUUACUAAUUAGGCCGACUUAUUAUGACAUUCCUUACCCAAGCACAAUGAUGACGCUGUGAGUUCAGACAAGACAUGGUUCUCCUGCAUUGAUUUGACAGACGCAAGCAUUUUUUAUUUUAUUUCUCUCCUUUCUUCUAGAAGUUGACUGUUUAUUAAGAUUAUUAUUAUUGAAAAGGACGGAUUUAGGAAUUCCAUCCUAUUUCAAAAGAGGGAUAGAAGCACACAACAAUCUAUGUUGAGGACAGACUAUUAAGAGGAGGGCCAGACAAGUACAGACUAAUAGAUCAGAUAGCAGCAGGUUUAGAAUCAGGGACCCCAGAGAAUCAUAAAAAAUAAUUUUUGAAAUCAUAAAUAUGCUUGAUAAAUGAAAAGAUGUAAUCUUAUUUGUGUUCCUUCCAUAGUUGUGGUGAUAGUAGAUGGGGUUCAACGUCGACUGAUUCGAAGAAGAGCCGCCACUCCUGUACACAUAACUUGCGAGUGUUUGAUCACACCCCAUAUAGUGCACACAUGCACACACUUAAGGUAUAGAGUAACAAGACGCAUCAGGUCCGACAACAGAACACAUUUUAACAACAAACUGCUGGGGAAAGUUGAUAUGCACUGGGCAUAACCUACAAGUUUGGGUCUAUAUAUCACCCUCAGUCUCAAGGAUUGGUCGAGAGAGCCAAUCAAAUAAUUAAGAGGAUAAUGUGCGAAGGCGCUUCCACUGGUACUGAUGACCAUGAGAGCAUUACCAGGGGGGAAGACGCCACCAAGUGAGUUGAUAACAGGAAGAAGUAUGCCAGAGCCACCCAGAGAUGGAGGUCAUAUGCCACCUCUGGAUGUCUGUAAAAUUGAAAUGUCAGAAUAUAUAAAAGCUCUAAUUUCUCUCUCACCAAAGCUCUCUCAAACCAGGUUGUUCGAGCCCAGACGAUCGAUCAGGAGGCAGCAGAGCCAACCAAAGUAAAAGUAGGUGACUGGGUCAGGAUCAGGGUUCACAAGAGGAAGUGGACUGAGCCUAGGUGGACUGGUCUGUACGAAGUGAAGGAGGUUACUUCACACAUGGUCCAGGUCAAGGGUAAGGCAGAGGCACCUUGACACCACCUGACACAUUGUGCCCCAGCCACCUGUCCAACAGGGACAUUGACAGAAACACAAUCAGAUGGAAAAAUUUUGAUGCCACAGAGGUCGUUCCGUAGGUGUUUCGGGGAGCCUGAUAGCCCAGCUAGAAGGCCCCCCCCCGCAAACCACUAUAGGAACAGCUGGAAGUCAGACAAACUGUUCUAAUGGUCAUGGGACUGACCCUUGUCAUUAUCGUAGGAUUAGUCAUGUGAGGUUUAGAGAAGAACCUGCCAAAAAAGACAUUAUAAUAGAAAAGAUUAGGGAGAAUAUUGUUUUUAAUGUAUGUUGCCUGAGAGUGACUGUAUGUUAAAAUUAUAGAUUGAAGCCAGUUGAAUAACGGAAAGACAGGAAAAGAAAAGUAGGAAAGACAGGAAAAGAAAGGUUGGAAAGACAGGCAAAGAAAGGUUGGAAUGACAGGAAAAGAAAGGAGACAGAAAGGAGACAAGAAGGAGCAGAGACUGAGACAUUAGAGCUAGAGUUAGGACUGCAACACAGGAAGAUGGGUGCAGACAACAUCGACUCUCACUGCUCACCGUCUCCUGUCAUUAAUGGCACCUCGAUGUGCAAAAGUUUUGUUUUUCCCCAUAAGCUGUUUUAGGGUUCGAGCACGAGAGAGGAGGGUGCUGGACGAAUACCUGCCUGCUAUCAGAUCCUAGUAGGAUUUGAAUAUUUCUAUGCCCUAGUCAAGGGCCAUAGAUAGGAUCAAUUACAUUUAUCAUAACCAGUAAAGAUAAAUAAAGUUAGAUUGGAUUGGAUAAGUAAUUAAGACUCUGUUGGACGACGGAUGGCCAUUUAAUAGAUGAUUCCUCCCACACGGGGUGAGAAGCUGUUCCUCCGACUCAGUUAAAGAUUGCGAAUUCAAGCCUAGAAAGUAUUAGAUACUUAUUAAAUAUAGAAAUUAAAAUACAAUUUUCAUAGUCAAGUGUCACAUUCUGUAUAGAUCCGGCCUAGUGGCUGUUGUGUUGUGUUUUCUCAUUCUCUUCAACAGCUACACCUGACGCUCCAGCAUCGACCUCCAUCGUGUGCUGACUGCCUGCUGUGAGGACCUGCCAUGAGGAGCUGCCCACAGGAGCAUCGGACACCAUCAUCACCCGGCUCAGAGACUGAGGAGCCAAUGAAGAGCACGCUCUACCACCCACGAUGCUGCACAUGAGAGUCAUGUCGAAUCCAGGGCCCAUGCGACACCAGUGAAAGAACAACAACAAGCCUGGCCAGGACGAUCCAGACGAAAUCAAGUUCGAGACCACCGGAUAAAAGACCCCAUCGACAGCCGGAGGAGACGCUGACGCAGACCAGAGGACCAGAGGACCAGAGGGACUUCCAGGACCCAGACCAGGAUGAAGCAGAUGACGCAGACCAGACCAGGAUGAAGCAGAUGGAUUGCAGCGGGGACCGGAUCGUCAACUGGUUAUCAGGAUGCCAACCUGCUACUCACCAGCCGCUAGGAUGCAAGACCCCCCCCCUGCCUCACCACUCUCAAUUUCAUCUCUUUCUUCGACACCUGCACAUUACAGAUUUAAUGCACACAGACCUACUGACUUCCCUAGGAUGGAAGAUCUAAGAGGGUGGAUCGGAGUACCACAUGACAGAAACCACGCCCCUAUUCCCAUCCCUAACAGAGAGAGACACUCUCCCCGAGAAAUAGGUAUCUUACAGGUCUUAUGGGACCUUAAUCUAGGCAACGAAAGAUUAUAUUUCAGGAGACUCAUUCACGUCAAGUGGCAGAGCUAAGACAGGACGAGGAGGCCAGGCCAUGACAAGAUCUGGCAGCAAGAGGGAAAUAAAUAUUCCCAGAGAAAGGG